UUAAAAUAAUAAUUAAAAAAACCCAAAACAUUGAAUUUCAUGCCUUCCUUUCUGCUUGGCCUUUUAAUUGUUCAUUCCCAACAUCAGAGAAUACAGAGAGCUGAACAUUCAAAAUGUGAAAAGGUCAACAUGGAAGACAGCCUGCCUGAAAAUUAAAGAUGUUUCUUGCUCUCUUUCAGCUGAAGAUACAGACAUGGGGACCCUACCCACCAGGAAGGACAUCUGGACUAAAGAGAACAAGAAUACAGAUUGAUCUCUGCCAGGACAGGCACUGCCAGCAAUGAAAAUCAGUUAAAAAGAAGGCAGAAGAGAAUGGGUUGGUGUAUGCCUUGAAGAUGCAUCCCAUUAAUGGGAUACCUUUGGCAGCAGUGACCUCAGAAAACAUUAGGGAAGCAACAAUGCAGCACAGGAAUGAUCCGGACCUCUGACAGAACCAAGAAAUGCAAACCUGUUCAACCAAUCAACAGGGAGAUGGAUGGAGAAAGGUACAGAACAGCAGAGCCCUGGCAAAGCUCUGAGCUUAACUGAUGCACCUGUGCCAUGGGCAAGACUGCACAGGGCCAAGGAGAGCUGUGGCACAAUCCUGAUCAUACUGAUACUGGUGGCAGGUCACCAAUCAACCAGAAUGUGAGGGAAAUGUUUGUUACCCACAAGCAAGCAGCAGAAAGAGGAAAAGUGCAGCAACUCCCAUCCCGCUGUACACUAUUUUCACAGGACCAGUUCAAUCAGGUAUGUGUACGUAAUAGGAGCAAGUAGUUUGCCAAAUCUUUGUGUCCAACUUAUGCUAGAAACAAGACAAUUCCACAGAAUCCCACAGAUGAUAUGCUUG
rnacentral:lncRNA from 1 species